rnacentral:rRNA from 1 species
AGUGAACGCUGGCGGUAGGCCUAACACAUGCAAGUCGAACGGCAGCACAGUAAGAGCUUGCUCUUACGGGUGGCGAGUGGCGGACGGGUGAGGAAUACAUCGGAAUCUACUUUUUCGUGGGGGAUAACGUAGGGAAACUUACGCUAAUACCGCAUACGACCUACGGGGGAAAGCAGGGGAUCUUCGGACCUUGCGCGAUUGAAUGAGCCGAUGUCGGAUUAGCUAGUUGGCGGGGUAAAGGCCCACCAAGGCGACGAUCCGUAGCUGGUCUGAGAGGAUGAUCAGCCACCCUGGAACUGAGACACGGUCCAGACUCCUACGGGAGGCAGCAGUGGGGAAUAUUGGACAAUGGGCGCAAGCCUGAUCCAGCCAUACCGCGUGGGUGAAGAAGGCCUUCGGGUUGUAAAGCCCUUUUGUUGGGAAAGAAAAGCAGCAGGUUAAUACCCCGCUGUUCUGACGGUACCCAAAGAAUAAGCACCGGCUAACUUCGUG